rnacentral:lncRNA from 8 species
AAACUAAAGACGUGCGCUGAAGAGACUCUGUUUCUCCACUGAAAAAUCCGUACGUUUCCACGUCGCGCACCACAACCAGCGGGAGAGUUAAGCUCCUUCCCGUCGUCGAACUUUUCAUACAGACACAGACACAAACGGGAAGAAACUCUGUCUAAAGUCUAGGCUGACAGUGACACAUUCUCUCUCACGCUGUCUUGUUCCACACGGAGGAGGGAGGGGGGGGGGGGGUGUCAGCAUAGCGACAGAGAUAUUCCCCACAAGACUACUGCUCGUUGGACUGACUGAGUCUGAGUCGUUGGGUGGCCAAGGUGGAGAGGGAGAAGAGACCCUUUGAGAAUUUCCAACAGCUCCUCAUAUUUACGUUGUCUUCUGCUCCGACCCGACCAGCGGUCUUCAGCAUCGCUCUCCCUGCGACUACAGUUCACUUUAUCCCGCACGCCUCCUGUCCUUGCGCGAAGAAAGCAGAAGCUCCCCAACCGACUGCCGAGGUGGAGGAGACCCGGUCCUCGGAAAGGUCCAAGCGUCUGUCUGAGGACAGAGGGAGUGCGAGUCUGUAAAUGAGGUGAAUCCACAAACCCACAAGGAAGCUACAGAACCAGAUGUACAAGAUGGAAGACGGAUAAUAAUCUUGAAGAGAUUCAGAAAGUCGUCCAGUCUAACAUCCUCCUAAAAGUCCAUUAGCAAACAGACUGAACAUUGAAUACACUCUCUGACAUUCUUAUAAAGAUUCUCUUUACUCACGUCGAACCAAGGCCGUUCCAAUCCCACUCCUUUUCAACCAGCAUGUUCUUCCAUUUGUCGAACACAAACAUGAUGACUACGUUCCAAUACAUGCAUUUAUUUCUGGCUGUUUUGUUGCUGUAAAGAAGUUGCACGUUCAAAGGCUUCUCUUGAGUACACUAUACAAAUCGGGUAUAACGGACUUUGUACGCCUAUCCUAUGCUAUUUCAUUUCGAUGCUAUGGUUAAGGUUUCAGUCGUCCACUAUAUCCCCCUGAACGUUUAUUAACAAUCUGACUGAACAUUGAAUAGGCUGACUUACUUUCUUGUUAAGAUUCUCUUUAAUCACGUCGAACCAAGGCCGUUCCAAUCUCACUGCUUUUCAAUCAACAUUUUCUUUCCAUUGUGAUAUGAUGACUGCAUUCCAAUAAAUGUAUUUCUUUCUUCCUGUUUUGCUGUUGUAAUC